rnacentral:rRNA from 1 species
AUUGAACGCUGGCGGCAGGCUUAACACAUGCAAGUCGAGCGGGGAGAUGUAGCUUGCUACAUUUCCUAGCGGCGGACGGGUGAGUAAUGCUUAGGAAUCUGCCUAUUAGUGGGGGACAACGUUUCGAAAGGAACGCUAAUACCGCAUACGCCCUACGGGGGAAAGCAGGGGAUCUUCGGACCUUGCGCUAAUAGAUGAGCCUAAGCCAGAUUAGCUAGUUGGUGGGGUAAAGGCCUACCAAGGCGACGAUCUGUAGCGGGUCUGAGAGGAUGAUCCGCCACACUGGGACUGAGACACGGCCCAGACUCCUACGGGAGGCAGCAGUGGGGAAUAUUGGACAAUGGGGGGAACCCUGAUCCAGCCAUGCCGCGUGUGUGAAGAAGGCCUUUUGGUUGUAAAGCACUUUAAGCGGGGAGGAGGCUACUAGUACUAAUAUUACUGGAUAGCGGACGUUACCCGCAGAAUAAGCACCGGCUAACUCUGUGUCAGCAGCCGCGGUAA